AACGAACGCUGGCGGCAGGCUUAACACAUGCAAGUCGAACGCCCUAGCAAUAGGGAGUGGCGCACGGGUGAGUAACGCGUGGGAAUGUACUGUUUAGUGGGGGAUAACCAAGGGAAACUUUGGCUAAUACCGCAUACGCCCUUCGGGGGAAAGAUUUAUCGCUAAACGAUCAGCCCGCGUGGGAUUAGGUAGUUGGUGGGGUAACGGCCUACCAAGCCGACGAUCUCUAGCUGGUCUGAGAGGAUGAUCAGCAACACUGGAACUGAGACACGGUCCAGACUCCUACGGGAGGCAGCAGUGGGGAAUAUUGGACAAUGGGGGCAACCCUGAUCCAGCCAUGCCGCGUGAGUGAUGAAGGCCUUAGGGUUGUAAAGCUCUUUUACCGAUGAAGAUAAUGACGGUAGUCGGAGAAAAAGCCCCGGCUAACUUCGUGCCAGCAGCCGCCGUAA
rnacentral:rRNA from 1 species